rnacentral:rRNA from 1 species
CCUACGGGAGGCAGCAGUGAGGAAUAUUGGUCAAUGGGCGUGAGCCUGAACCAGCCAAGUCGCGUGAGGGAAGACUGCCCUAUGGGUUGUAAACCUCUUUUGUCGGGGAGCAAUUGACGCUACGUGUCGCGUUAUGAAUGUAACCUAAGAAAAAGCAUCGGCUAACUCCGUGCCAGCAGCCGCGGUAAUACGGAGGAUUCGAGCGUUAUCCGGAUUUAUUGGGUUUAAAGGGUUCGUAGGCGGGAGAGCAAGUCAGCGGUAAAAUUUCGGGGCUCAACCCCGGUCCGCCGUUGAAACUGGUGUUCUUGAGUGGGCGAGAAGUAUGCGGAAUGCGUGGUGUAGCGGUGAAAUGCAUAGAUAUCACGCAGAACUCCGAUUGCGAAGGCAGCAUACCGGCGCCAUACUGACGCUGAAGCACGAAAGCGUGGGUAUCGAACAGGAUUAGAUACCCUUGUAGUC